rnacentral:rRNA from 1 species
UAGGGAAUCUUCCACAAUGGACGCAAGUCUGAUGGAGCAACGCCGCGUGAGUGAAGAAGGUUUUCGGAUCGUAAAGCUCUGUUGUUGGUGAAGAAGGAUAGAGGUAGUAACUGGCCUUUAUUUGACGGUAAUCAACCAGAAAGUCACGGCUAACUACGUGCCAGCAGCCGCGGUAAUACGUAGGUGGCAAGCGUUGUCCGGAUUUAUUGGGCGUAAAGCGAGCGCAGGCGGAAGAAUAAGUCUGAUGUGAAAGCCCUCGGCUCAACCGAGGAACUGCAUCGGAAACUGUUUUUCUUGAGUGCAGAAGAGGAGAGUGGAAUUCCAUGUGUAGCGGUGGAAUGCGUAGAUAUAUGGAAGAACACCAGUGGCGAAGGCGACUCUCUGGUCUGCAACUGACGCUGAGGCUCGAAAGCAUGGGUAGCGAACAGG